GUGGGGAAUAUUGCACAAUGGGCGAAAGCCUGAUGCAGCAACGCCGCGUGAAGGAAGAAGGGUUUCGGCUCGUAAACUUCUAUCAACAGGGACGAAAGAAAUGACGGUACCUGAAUAAGAAGCCCCGGCUAACUACGUGCCAGCAGCCGCGGUAAUACGUAGGGGGCAAGCGUUAUCCGGAAUUACUGGGUGUAAAGGGUGAGUAGGCGGCAUGGUAAGCCAGAUGUGAAAGCCUUGGGCUUAACCCGAGGAUUGCAUUUGGAACUAUCAAGCUAGAGUACAGGAGAGGAAAGCGGAAUUCCUAGUGUAGCGGUGAAAUGCGUAGAUAUUAGGAAGAACACCAGUGGCGAAGGCGGCUUUCUGGACUGAAACUGACGCUGAGGCACGAAAGCGUGGGGAGCGAACAGGAUUAGAUACCCCAGUAGUCC
rnacentral:rRNA from 1 species